rnacentral:tRNA from 1 species
GUGGGUGCAGCUCAGUUGGUGCAGUGCUUGCCUGGAAAGCAUGAGGUCCUGGGUUCAACCCCCAACACCACA